UUAGACUGAGACUGUAGUGUCGUCAAAAAUGGCUAGAAAAAAUUAAAUUAAAGUUGUGCACCUUUGUAAACUUGUUACUGGUGACAUUUUUAUCUGUAGCUGUAGAUCUUGAUUAGAAUAUUUCUAGGAUUGUAUACAUUUUAAACUUAUCUUUCAAAGUAAAGUUUGGUAUAUGUUUUUUUCUGUUACAGACUGAAAUAGCUAAACGGUUGAAUGCAAUAAUAGCUCAAGUUCUACCCUUCUUAGCACAAGAGCAUCAACAGCAGGUGGCCACAGCUGUAGACCGGGCGAAACAGGUCACCAUGUCUGAGCUCAAUGCCAUAAUUGGGCAACAGCAGCAGCAGGGACUGCAACAAUUACUA